rnacentral:tRNA from 1 species
GGGGCUGUAGCUCAGCUGGGAGAGCACCUGCUUUGCAAGCAGGGGGUCGGCGGUUCGAUCCCGCUCAGCUCCA